rnacentral:rRNA from 1 species
GCUCAGAUUGAACGCUGGCGGCAUGCUUUACACAUGCAAGUCGAACGGCAGCACGAAAGAGCUUGCUCUUUUGGUGGCGAGUGGCGAACGGGUGAGUAAUACAUUGGAACGUACCGAGUAAUGGGGGAUAACUGUCCGAAAGGAUGGCUAAUACCGCAUACGCUCUGAGGAGGAAAGCGGGGGACCUUCGGGCCUCGCGUUAUUCGAGCGGCCAAUGUCUGAUUAGCUAGUUGGUGGGGUAAAGGCCUACCAAGGCGACGAUCAGUAGUGGGUCUGAGAGGAUGAUCCGCCACACUGGGACUGAGACACGGCCCAGACUCCUACGGGAGGCAGCAGUGGGGAAUUUUGGACAAUGGGCGAAAGCCUGAUCCAGCCAUGCCGCGUGUCUGAAGAAGGCCUUCGGGUUGUAAAGGACUUUUGUCAGGGAAGAAAGGGUUUGGGUUAAUACCCUGAGCUUA